rnacentral:RNase_P_RNA from 1 species
GAGAGUAGACGUAGGCGGUUGCAGAUCGGUCACAACAACUGGUUUGAGGAAAGUCCGGGCUCCCGAAAGACCAAACUUGCUGGAUAACGUCCAGUGCGAGCGAUCGUGAGGAUAGUGCCACAGAAAGAUACCGCCAAAGUUAGUGCUGAGCAAUGAGUAUCGAGUGCUGAGAAAAGAAAACUCAGAACUCAGAACUGAGAACUCAGGACUGUUUUGGUAAGGGUGCAAAGGUGCGGUAAGAGCGCACCAGCAGCGUCGAGAGGCGCUGGCUCGGUAAACCCCGGUUGGGAGCAAGGCGAAAGGAACUAUGGUUGGUCUUUUACCAGUUCCGCUAAAACAGAGCCGCUAGAGGCGUCUGGUAACAGGCGUCCCAGAUAGAUAACCGCCCUCAUGUAUGGAAGUUACAUGUAACAUCUCUACAUCAGAGAACAGAACCCGGCUUAUGAGCUGCUCUCUCUC